GGGAAAAUGUGGGUGUGGUGCCUCCAUGUGGUCUGUCAAAUAAAAAUGUGACAUAUGGCAAUUAUUAUACCAGAUUUUUUAUUUUCC
rnacentral:pre_miRNA from 1 species